UCAUUUUGCCACAAUUUAUGCAAUAGAUAUCUUGUUUUCAUUUGAAGAAAUGAAGAUGGCGGCACCAGGACUGUCCUGUCAAGCAUUUUUAAGAAUUCUGGAUCAGCGAACUGUCUGCUUUGGUUGUGCUGGCAAGAUCUCAGGAGACAGUUUUCAGAAAUGUUUUUUGAGUGGGAGGCUGUGCGAUUCAAGGUGGACAAUAUAUUCAAAUCUGAGGAACCGGACAUCUUUGAAGGCAUCUUCAUAGCUAAGGAUGAGGAUAUUACCAAACUUGUAAAAUUGUAGAUGAUAAUUACACUAUAGGACUACAAUAUCCUCUUAUUGAAUAGUUUGUGUAGGAAAGUCUUAUUUUCACCAUUUUCCAUAUUGUAGGUCAGUGGAAGAGGUGUUUGUGGAAGGGAGUGGUCAGCAGCCAGAGAGACCUCCCAAAAACUGCAAGCAACAUAGACGAGGAGGGAUUGGAGUUGUGGUGAAAUGGAGUAUGGCAUAUCAGGAUGGUUGUGGAUUAACACUAGGAGAGGAGGUGGAACAGUGCAAUGCCUUCCUCUCAAGGAUUCCAGUGACCACAAAACACAUUUCAAAAGCAGGACGCGCAGACAUGCUGACUCUCAUGGCCAUGCACUGACAUCAGCAAACGUUUAACAAUUUAGCCAUCUCAAAUACUCGCCGAUAUCAGAAGAUUCGCCAAGCAAGAGACUGUUACCUACAAGUUUUGUCGGAAGUCGAGAACAUCAACUUCUUGUACAGUGCUUCAGCUGAUGAGUACGACAGUGACUUUGACUUUCUGGUGAUGGUCUGUAAUCCACAAGACUGUGAUACCUUCCAUUAUUCUGGAGAAAGAUUUCUAACUGUCAAUAUAAAGCAAUUAAUAAAAUCUACUUUUCAUAA